GGGGAUAUUGCACAAUGGGGGAAACCCUGAUGCAGCAACGCCGCGUGAGGGAAGACGGUUUUCGGAUUGUAAACCUUUGUCUUUGGUGAAGAAGAAAGUGACGGUAGCCAAGGAGGAAGCCACGGCUAACUACGUGCCAGCAGCCGCGGUAAUACGUAGGUGGCAAGCGUUGUCCGGAAUUACUGGGUGUAAAGGGAGCGCAGGCGGGAGCGCAAGUUGGAUGUGAAAUACCGCAGCUUAACUGCGGAGCUGCAUCCAAAACUGUGUUUCUUGAGUGAAGUAGAGGUAGGCGGAAUUCCGAGUGUAGCGGUGAAAUGCGUAGAUA
rnacentral:rRNA from 1 species